rnacentral:lncRNA from 1 species
GAAGUGAAGUUUGUUGGAUGAGGAAGAAUAGAAAUUGUUUUGAAAGGAGAGGAGUGUAUAACUAUAGGCCAAUUAGUGAUGAAUUGGAAGCAAUUCACUUUGAUAUACCUGCUUCUUUGUUGGGUACAGUGACGUAAACAACGAUGCUUGGCACAGUGUUUUCCAUUCUUAUAAUAUUAGUGCGAUGAUAGCCCUGCGCUUUGCUACCUGAACUCAACCUGAAAGAAAGCAAAUUAAAUUUAUUUAUCAGACAGACAGACAGUAUUAUUACAAAAACAAAACCCUAGAAAUUGGGUUGGGGGAAAAGUACCGAGGAGGGGUGGAGAGAGUAAAGGAGAAGGGAUGGAGUUUGUGAAAGCCUAAGCUCAGCAUACAAAAGGCACCCACUAAAGGUAAUCGCCGACGAACCCCCGCCGAUGUCAGUCUAGAAAGUGCCAUUUCCGAACCCAACCUUUGUAUUCACAUGAUUCUUAUUUUUCUCAUUCUCUUGGGCUGCUCCAAUGGCCCAUUA